CAGAAGCCCAUUGCUACUAAUUUAGUAGAACCCCCUGGCAAUAUAUACAACAUUCAAAUAUUUUACAGAGAGCUUUUUUGCAUGGUUCUCAAAAGAACAAUUUUGUGUUUGGGGAUAGGACCUCAGAAGAAGCAGUUUGUUCUAUCCUCAGGCCAGCCUUGCAGAGAUUUUUACAUUCUAUCCUGACAAAUUUGCUUGUCUGCCCCUUAUGCCCACUUCUUGUCCUUCCAGCACUGAGAUACGCAGAAGGUGCAUAAAGCUACCUUGCUUUGAGUAAACAAACUGCAAUGUUGGAAAGACCCAUGUGGCAAGAAACCUCUAUUCAACAGCCAAUGAGGAAAUGAGGCACGAAAUAUAAUCACACAAGGAACUCAAGGAACUGAAACUGGCCGGCAACCAUGUAUCUAGACAAGGAGAAGCUACACCUACACCCGACAAAAAGGAUAAAUCUUUAGUCUUCCAUCUAAGACUGAGCUAAAUGCAGAGAUCGGAUGGGAAUUUAAGUUGCCACCUAUGUAGGCAGUUUUUAAUAAAAAUGUGGAAAUUGGAGGUGGAGCGAUGUGGCUGAAUAGAAGCCUCCACUGAUUAUCCUCCCCAUAGGAAGAACACAUUUAACAACCGUCUACACAAAAAAGAAACUUCAUACGAACCAAAAAUCAGGAAACCCUGACAACUUCCACACAGCCCAAGAUACAGGAAGGAGUAAAGCCAUUUGUUCAGUUCUGGAUGAUGUUUCAUAUCGUUAACUCCUUGGUGCUAACUAACUGUUGGAAUUCCUCACAUUUAAUGGUCGAUGGCAAGUGUUGCUGAUACGAUGCGCAUUCUGAAUCAAACACCAUCUUGGAUUAAUGAAAAUAUUCCUCAUUGAUGUGAUCAACCUGGUCAGUCUGAUAGCUUACAUUUGCCGUGGCCAUGCCCACGGCAGCUAUAGCAAAUAUUAAGACAAAAUGAAUAAAGUUAGUAAACAUAACUACGAUUCUUGUGAGCAGAACAGCAAAUCAUUUCAAAACUGCAAUUCUGAAAUGUCACUUAAUUAGUAUUUUUUAUAUCACUGUUUAGUCAAACGAUAUGCUUCCUGACUUUCUCAUCUGAAGUAGGAGAGAGCCUCUUAAGAUUCCACGGAUGAAGCUUUAAAGAACUUGUGACAUAUCUCAGUUACUUCUUUGUUAUCUUUUUUAUAUGAGUCUUUAUUUCCCAACAUUUAAAUUUUUAUAAUAUAAAAAUAUUGCUUUUAUAAUUUAGGCAAAAGUAAACAUAUAGCCUUAAAAUAUCACCAUAUAUUCUACUUCAUGGUAGCGCAGCAGAUCAUGCGCCAUCUUCCUUCACUACCUGUUUUCUCCAACAAUCUGUAGUCACAGAAAAGCUCUUGGAGAAACACCUUUCCCUAAGUCAGGUUCAGGUCUGUGACUCUAAACAUCCUUUGAAAAGUGUAGUUGUAUAGAUUAGAUUAUAGAUUAGCGAUCAUCUUUGGGAGUACAGCAUUAACAGCACAUAAGCAAGUAUUAGAAGAGACACCUUUCUCAUCGAUAUUUAAAGACCGUGAGCUUCCCCAACACAAAUGAAAAUGUUAAAUCAGUUUGGUUGAACUGAUGUUUGAUUUUAAACUAGCUCCACUAUUUCCAUUGGCAUCUUACUCCAAAAACAGGGAUUUGGUACAGGAUGAAGGUCCUGUCACUUGCUGGAUAAGUUUUACUGGUUUACAUAACAAUAAAUAAGGCUACAUUCUAUAGCUCUUUUAGUACAGCUAAAGAAGUGUGAAUAGUAUUUAUGUUCUCUUCUUUAAGCCAACACUGUAACUUCCACUUGUACAACUGUUUUCAGAACAUUCUGAGAGAUCAUUUUAUUUUCACUGUAAUAAUCAAGAUCAUUCAUCUUAUAAAAAUAUUGCCUGAAAAAAAAAUAAAUAGAAACUGGUCAUUUCUUUUUAUUAUUAAGAAUGGUGGAAGUAGUAGAGAGGCAAAUUGAAUCAGUUAUUUCCUAAUCCCCUUGUUAACAGGGAUGGCAGCAAUGCCCUUAGAACAACUGAGAGGAUAAACAAGCUGAUCUUCAUGGUCCCACCCUCAGAUUUCUACAUAACUUCCUUCACUUAUCUACCAAGUGACAGGACCUUCAUGAAGCACAAUGAUUACCCAGAACCCCUACUCUAGUAGCCUCUAAGGCUUGCCAUCUCUGAAAGUACGCAUUGUAUUGGCUCUGUAAUGUGCCAACUUGCUAGGUCAAACUACAUUUACCAGAAUUCCAUUUUCUUGCAUGUGUCCAGUUAGGGUAGGCUACACGAUAAAUUCUUUCACACUAGUUGGAGGAUGUUAGGAAGGCAGUUGCCAUUUUGCAGUAUGUGUGUAUGUGCAUGCAUAUGUGUGUGCACACAUGCAUACUGCUGCUGGUAUGCUGACUUGCCUCAUUGACAUAAAGCAUCAUUUGGACCUGGGAUUGCUCUCUUCCCCCCUGGAUCUUCCUUCAGUGUCUGAUUUCUGGGCCAGAGGUAUGUGUGCUCAUUCUUACUGCCGUGGUCAGAGGCAACAACAACUAACAACAAAAAACACAGGUUUCAGUCUAUCCUAGUGGAAUUCAAGCCUGCUUGUGAUCUUCCCACCUGACUGCCUGCCUGUGAACUUCAGGCUCUGAUAUUAGAUGAAGAGACAGCUUUGUGGAGACUGCUUAGCCAGAUCUAUAAUGGUGUAAACCGAUUCUCUGUAAAAUAUAUGUGUAUCUAUCUAUAUGUAUGUGUAUACACACAAACUCCACACAUGCACACACCUAAUAGGAUACAUAUAUAAUACCCUACUGCUCUACUUCUCUGGUUGAACUCUGAAUGAUACACGUUAUGCCAAAGUUAUCACUGUCUUCUCCCCUGGUUAAGUAUCCCAUUCUCUCAGUGGAUUGUCUUCUGGGAUUAGGAGGAAAAUGAUUUUAUUAUUUCCCAGUUAAAGCCAUUAACUUGGUAUUUAUAAAAUAUCACAUACCAGGUGCUAAGUAAUGAGGUCCUUUCUGACUUUAUCUCCCAAUCAAUCAUUUCCUUAAACAUACAGCACACUGAAAGUCGUUUCCCAUCUACUAACUGCAGUCUGACGUCCACUGAUAGCCUUCCACUAAAAUUGAUUCCCAGUUUGAAUGGUUAUGUCUUUAUUUUACUAGAUCUUUCUACAUUCUUGGUAUAGCUUACUCUUCCCUCAUUUUGGAAGUCUUUCUCUGCUGGCUUUUUUUACAACCACUUUCCAGCCUCUCUGGAAGGUACUCCCUCCACGCACCUAGGGAAUGUUGGCUGUUUCUCUCAUUCAUCCUCUACUCACACUAUACAUGCAAGAAUGGGCUUACCUACAUCAAACACUUUAAUGACUUUACCACCCAUAUUUACUGACCUUCAAAUCUAAGUCUUUGGCUUGGACCUCUGCCCUCCAUGGACAUCUCCAUUUGGAUAUCCCACAAGCAUCUCACACUCAAUGUGUCAGCAAUUUGAUUAGUCAUAUUUCUCCCCAGAUUGCUCAACCUUCUGAGUUCCUAUCUUGGUAAACAAUAUCUAGCAUUCAUUAAGCACUCAAUAAAUGCUUAUCAGAAAGUGAAUGGAUAAAUAAGCAUGAUUAGAAAAGACAUUUCUUCACUAUUAAAUACUGAGAAUAAAUAAUAGCAGCCCAAUUCGUAUACAAUAGCUUUUUUUCUUUGAGACGGAGUCUCGCUCGGUAGCCCAGGCUGCAGUGCAGUGGUGCAGUGGUGCGAUCUUGCUCACUGCAACCUCCACCUCCAAGCAAUUCUCCUGCCUCAGCCUCCCAAGUAGCUGGGAUUACAGGCAUGUGCCACCACACCCCGGCUAAUUUUUGUAUUUUUAGUAUAGAUGAG
rnacentral:lncRNA from 1 species